CCUACGGGAGGCAGCAGUAGGGAAUUUUCGUCAAUGGGCGCAAGCCUGAACGAGCAAUGCCGCGUGAACGAGGAAGGUCUUCGGAUCGUAAAGCUCUGUUGAAGGGGAAAAAGAGCGGCGAGAGGAAAUGCUUUCUGAUUGAUAUUACCCUUCGAGGAAGUCACGGCUAACUACGUGCCAGUAGCCGCGGUAAUACGUAGGUGGCGAGCGUUAUCCGGAAUGAUUGGGCGUAAAGGGUGCGUAGGCGGCCUGCUAAGUCUGGAGUGAAAGGUACCGGCUCAACCGGUACAGGCUCUGGAAACUGGCGGGAUAGAGAGCAGGAGAGGGCGGUGGAACUCCAUGUGUAGCGGUAAAAUGCGUAGAUAUAUGGAAGAACACCAGUGGCGAAGGCGGCCGCCUGGCCUGUUAACUGACGCUGAGGCACGAAAGCGUGGGGAGCAAAUAGGAUUAGAUACCCGGGUAGUC
rnacentral:rRNA from 1 species